rnacentral:rRNA from 1 species
AUGCGUUAUAGGCGGUUUGUUUGUUCCAGACAAGGAAAACGUGACAGCAGGUUGCUAACCGAGGAAGGACACAGCCGUAGGCUCAGACCCGAGACACGCUGCCACUGCGAAGCGCACCUGACCGUGAAGCUUGACCAAAAGCGUGGGGUUUGGUAUGUUGAUAGUUUUGAGGACAAGCAUAGCCAUAUCUUGGCAGGACCGGACGGGGUACCUUUUCUUUGGUCCCACAGAAAAAUCAAAGAGUACCAGAAGCAUGAGAUAAUGUCCAUGGGAGCUGCAGGGAUUAGAAUUCACGACAUGAUGGAUUGCUUCAUCAGCAAACAUGUAUGGUACGGCGGUGUUGGUUUUACCAGGCGUGAAAUAUACAACCUUUGCGCCAGGGAGAAGAGGAAGCUGCUUUCAAAAGGUGAUGCUGCCACAGUCAUAGGCAUCAUGGUCAGUAGGAAACAGAGGGAUCCUAGCUUCUUUUUCGAGUACAAGCUAGACAAGGAAGGACAUAUGAAUAGGAUGUUCUGGUGUGACUCCCAGUCUCGUCAUGACUAUGAGGACUUCGGCGACGUGCUUGUAUUUGACAGCACGUACAAGAUGAAUCGGUAUGGUAUGCCAUUCAUACCCUUUGUUGGUCUUAACAAUCACCGGAAGACCACUGUUUUUGCUUGUGCCAUAGUUUCGGACGAGACCGAAGAGACAUAUGUGUGGCUGCUGGAGACUUUUUUGAGGUCCAUGUGUCAAAAGAUGCCUAUGAGUGUUAUCACGGAUGCCGACGCUGCGAUGAUCAAGGCAAUUCGCCAAGUCUUCCGAGACGUGUGGCACCGUAUAUGUACGUGGCAUAUAGAAAAAAAUAUGAAGAUUCACCUCAGUCACAAGUCCUUGAAGGAGUUCCGAACUCUUCUGUACUACAGCACGUCCACGGCCACGUUUGAGGAGAGAUGGCACGCGUUUUCCAAAAGAUGGCAGUCGGAAAAAACAGUAACAUGGUUGAGACGGAUGUAUAAGAAGAGGAGACUGUGGGCCGCGGCUUAUCUGACAGAGGGUUUUUGGCUUGGCAUGAAAAGCAACCAGAGGAGUGAAAGUCUAAACUCAUGCCUUCACCUCCACCUAGACGGUGAAAUGACCCUGGUGGAUAUGAUUUUGCACUAUGAGAACGCCGUUGUACGUAUCCGUGAGAAUGAGGCACGAGAUGAUUGCACGGCCUCACAGAGUUUACCGGUGCACGUUACUAGCUCGAGGGAACUUGAGAUAGCUGCUUGUCACGUCUUCACUCCAGCAAACUUCUAUAUGUUGCAAGCUGAUCUUAGGAAAAUUUGUGGCAUGGAGAUUGUAGAAAUAAAGCUCGGAGACGGAUCACAGCAGUACAUCGUGGCCUGGAAGAAUAACCAGAAGAGCCGUUUUUGGGUGGAGUACACUCCAGUAAAUUCCGCAGAAACUAUAAGGUGCAGCUGCAGAAGAAUGAUUCGAAAGGGUCUACCUUGCAAGCACAUAUUCCAUGUACUGAAGUACUUGAAUAUAUCUGAAAUACCAAAGUGUUUAGUUCUUGUGCGGUUCAUGAAAGACUCAAGGUUGGGACUGCCCGCCAGGCGCACAAGCGAUCUGUUGGGAUUUGGAUGGACUGGAGCAGCUGAAAGAAUGAAAUAUAGCCAUGUCAGUGUGUUGGCUUCAGAAGCUAUGCAUGCAGCAUGCAAACACCCAACUUUGUGGGAUCAGUUACAGGAGAGUUUGAAGGCCGUGAUAGCUAAGAGCCAUGAGUAUGAUCAGCUAAAGGAAAAUUUGAGUAAGAAAACGGCUGAUCUUAGUACUUGUGCAAUUGAAUAUGUAGAUGAUGGUGAAGGC